rnacentral:miRNA from 1 species
UCAGUCAGUCAGUCGGUCGGUCGGUCGGUCGGUCGGUCGAUCGGACGGCCGGU